AAUAGGCCGGCAAGGGUGGUGAGCUUACACAUGACGAGACAACAAUUAUAAGUGGGGCACUAGAUUUAACUGAGAAGACAGCUGAGGAGGCUAUGACACCCAUUGAAUCAACGUUUUCCUUAGAUGUCAAUUCAAAGUUGGACUGGGAGGCUAUGGGAAAAGUUCUUGCUCGGGGGCAUAGUCGAGUUCCUGUCUAUUAUGGGAAAAGUUAUUUGCUUAAUCAGUUUUUUUUUUUUUUUUAAAUUUAGACAUGGCUAUAUAUCUCAUUGCCAUCUCACUGGUUAUACGAUCACAGAGAAAACUGGCUCUGGUUCAAAGAUGUCAACUUUGAAUGAUCAUCCCCCACUCUGCUUUGUUACUAAGUGCCGCUAAUAGAAUUAUCAUUCAACUAGCAUUAAAUUGUUAAUUAAAUCAUGAAGAUCUCACU